rnacentral:misc_RNA from 1 species
GAUGAAGAACGUAGCGAAACGCGAUAAGUAAUGUGAAUUGCAGAAUCCAGUGAAUCAUCGAAUCUUUGAACGCACAUUGCGCCCGCCAGCAUUCUGGCGGGCAUGCCUGUUCGAGCGUCAUUUCAACCCUCGACCUCCCCUUGGGGAGGUCGGCGUUGGGGACCGGCAGCACACCGCCGGCCCUGAAAUGGAGUGGCGGCCCGUCCGCGGCGACCUCUGCGCAGUAAUACAGCUCGCACCGGGACCCCGACGCGGCCACGCCGUAAAACACCCAACUUCUGAACGUUGACCUCGAAUCAGGUAGGACUACCCGCUGAACUUAAGCAUAUCAAUAAGCGAGGA